CGCAUAUUUUCUUCCUUCAUAUUUCUAUCCAUCAAACUUCCAACAAAAGAAGUUGAAAAAUAGCAGAAUCCUACCUUAUUAAGAUGCAGUUGCCCUGGACUCUUGAAUGUCCAAUUCAUGUUCUGCUACCAUAAUACAGGAAUCUGCUUCAAGAGAUGAAGCUGAGCUCUUAUUCUUCAACAAUGAAUCCUUGGGUGAAUUGAGCAUGUCUGUUGUGCACUGCACAUCAGGCAUUAUCCCAACCUGAUCUAUGUCAUGAAGUGCAGGUGAUAGAUACUNUGCAACUGUGAUAAAUAGAGCUGAUCCAUCAUGCAACUCUGUUACACUCUGGAUUUUUCCUUUGCCAAAGGUUUUGUGCCCCACAAGGAUAGCUCGACCAUUGUCAUGCAGUGCUCCAGCUAAAAUCUCACUUGCGCUUGCACUUCCCUCGUUGAUGAGCACAACAAGUGGAUCAUGUGUUAUGGCAUGCCCAUCCACCAUAUUAAUGGGGAGCAUAUUUCCAUCUCUGUCAAUGGUGUUCACAAGAGUCUCAUCCCCAUCCAGCCAUAUUUGGGCAACAUCAAGUCCUGCUUUUACCAGACCCCCUGGGUUGUUCCUUAAAUCCAGAAUGUAUGAAUGUACACCUUGUGUUUCCAUUUCAUGUAUUGCAUUUGCCAUAUCAGCAGCAGCACUCUGAGAGAAAUUUGACAGCUUCACAUAACCGGUCUUUAUUUGACGGCCAUCUGGUGUUCUAUGUGGGAUGAUAGAGCUGGCUAUUGGGGAUAGCUUAAUGUACUCACGAGGCAAUUUGACCUCUUUGGUACUACAAUCACUUUUCGAAUCUU
rnacentral:misc_RNA from 1 species